CCGGGAACCGACGGAGCACCCGGGCGGAGCGGUGAGUUGAGACGAGCUCCUCGGCUCCCAGCCGCCUCCGGGAGCCUCGAGGCCUUCUCGAGGGGCAAAGUGGGAGAGUUAGUUCCGUGUCUGCUAUGGCUGCUACUGUGAACUUGGAACUUGAUCCCAUUUUUUUGAAAGCACUAGGCUUCUUACAUUCAAAGAGUAAGGAUUCUGCUGAAAAGUUGAAAGCACUACUGGAUGAAUCUUUGGCUCGGGGCAUUGAUUCAAGUUACCGUCCUUCUCAAAAGGAUGUGGAGCCACCCAAAAUUUCAAGCACAAAAACUGUUUCCAUUAAGCAAGAGCCCAAAACAACAUCCAGUCUUCCUUCUGGCAAUAAUAAUGGCAAGGUCCUCACAACUGAAAAGGUAAAGAAGGAAGGUGAAAAGAGACCUGCUGAUAAAAUGAAAUCAGAUACCACUGAAGGAGCUGAUAUUCCAAAGAAACCUAAACUGGAGAAACCAGAGACACGCUCCUCCCCCAUUACUGUCCAAACCAGCAAGGAUUUAGCUAUGGCUGACCUUUCCAGCUUUGAGGAGACCAGUGCUGAUGAUUUUGCCAUGGAAAUGGGAUUGGCCUGUGUUGUUUGUAGGCAAAUGACAGUGGCAUCCGGUAAUCAAUUAGUAGAAUGUCAGGAAUGCCAUAAUCUCUACCACCAAGAUUGCCAUAAGCCCCAGGUGACAGACAAGGAAGUGAAUGACCCUCGCCUUGUGUGGUAUUGUGCCCGAUGUACCAGACAAAUGAAAAGAAUGGCUCAAAAAACUCAGAAACCACCACAGAAACCAGCCCCCACGGUUGUUUCUGUAGCUCCAGCUGUCAAAGAUCCUUUGGUUAAGAAACCAGAAACUAAACUCAAACAAGAGACAACUUUCCUAGCAUUUAAGAGAACAGAAGUCAAGACAUCCACGGUUAUUUCGGGAAAUUCUUCUAGUACCAAUGUUUCCUCUUCAGUAACUAGUGGCCUAACUGGAUGGGCAGCUUUUGCAGCCAAAACUUCUUCUGCUGGUCCAUCAACAGCAAAAUUGAAUUCAACAACCCAAAACAAUAGCGGGAAACCUGCUACCUCAUCAGCUAACCAGAAGCCUGUGGGUUUAACUGGUCUGGCAACAUCAUCCAAAAGUGGAAUAGGUUCUAAAAUAGGUUCCAGUAACAGCACUUCACCCACUGUACCACUGAAACCACCUCCACCUCUAACUUUGGGCAAAACUGGCCUUAGUCGCUCAGUUAGUUGUGACAAUGUUAGCAAAGUAGGUCUUCCCAGUCCAAGUAGUUUGGUUCCAGGAAGCAGCAGCCAACUAAGUGGGAAUGGAAAUAGUGGAACAUCGGGAUCUAGUGGAAGUACCACUAACAAAACCGCUUCAGAAUCGAGCAGCUCGCCCUCAGCAUCCCUUAAAGGUCCAACUUCACAAGAAUCACAGCUCAAUGCCAUGAAGCGAUUACAGAUGGUCAAGAAGAAGGCCGCCCAAAAGAAACUCAAGAAGUAAUAUGGCCAAGAAUUACAUUACCAUUACCAUUCAGUAUGCCUCUCUCUCUCUCAUAAUUGGAGAGACUGCAUAUCAGCCUAUCAUCACAGUGGUAAUAAACAUGUAAUUAUAGUACACGUAAUUUUUGCCACCUGCUUUUUCACUUCAAAAUAUAUUUUAAAAUCUUUUCAUUUCAAUAUAUAGGUCUUGAAAGCAUCAUUUUCAUGACUACUUAAAUACAUUAUGUUACUGUCUGCUGACUUUUGAUGCACUUUGUAAAUAAUGGCAUACUAAACAUAUAGCAUUAUUAUGAUAAGCAAUUGAAAAAAUGUAAAGAUGAGGGACUAGACAAUGAAUCUAGAGUUAGCAGAACAGCUUUUUAAAAGUCAAAAAUUGUGUUCUCAGUAUUAUUUAUGUGAAAAAAAGAAAAGAGCACUGAUUCUCAGAUAUUGCUUCCCUCUAAAGCUGGUUUUAGCCAUUAUUAAACCUGAUCCUCUUUGAGAAGUAUCAAAGAUUGUUAUCACAUUUGUCCAGCAUCCUGCUCACCAAACAAGGCAUCUUAGAUAGUAUGGUAGGAGAAUUCUAAGACUGACCCCAAGAUUACCACCUCCUGUUGAGCAUGUUCUAUAUAACCCCCUAUGUGAAUAUGAUGGGAUUUCACUCCUAUGAUUAGGUUACAUUAUUUACAAAGGUAAAGGGAUUUUUGCAGAGGUGCCUAAUAAGGUCCCUAAUAUGCUGACUUUGAGUUAGUUGAAGACUAUCCUGAGUGGGCCUGACAUAAUCAGGUAAGCCUUUAAAAGAGAGUCCAGAUCUUCUCUGAAGGGAGAGAGCUGAAAUGAGAGAGGUGCUCUCCUACCGGCUUUGAAGAAGCCAAAGCCAUGUCGUGAACUGCCUAUGGAGACAGCCACGUAGCAAGGAUCUGAGAGCAGCCUGGUUGAAAGUGGUCCUUGGCUGACAGCCAGCAAGAAAAUGGAAGCCUUGGUGCUACUGGAACAAGGAACCAAAUUUUGCCAACAACCACAAGCUUGGAAAAGAACUCUGAGUUUCAGAAAGGAGCACAGCCAAGCCAAACGUCUAGACUGCAGCCAUAGGAGCUACUAAGUGGAGCACCCAGCUAAGCUGUGCCUGGACUGCUGGCCAUGGAAAUGGUCUGACUCAUUGAAAAUGAACAUCAUAUUAACGCCCAGCUCCAUACCAGCAUAUGCAUAUGCUCCAACCCUAUGCAGUCAUGGCUCCAGCCGCCUACCCCUCUGACCUUCAGAAACUCCGCUGUCGAAGGGCGUGAGCUCCUCAAAGGCCGAGGUUCAUUAACCUCCCACAUUAAGGAAAUCCCUGAUACUGGAAAAAAGCCCCUUCUCUCUCUCUCAGGUGAUACACAUGCUAUCUGGGGUCCCUAGAGUGACACAUCAAGACCUAACUCAUGAAAAAACAACUGCAUCUGACAUAAGGAGACUUCACGUCCAUCCUACGUUGGUCUU